UUUGAAAAACUACGCGCCGGCCUCUAAAUCGUACUGUAUUACCGUUGUUUUUUCGUCGAUCUUAAUUUCGAGGGUUGAGGGGGAAGGGCGAAACGACAGACGACUUUUGAUUUUUCAAAGGCCAACUAAACAGACCGCAGACGAUCCCGUAAAUGGCCGGAGGGUAAGUGUUAAACCAAUACGUUCCGGGUGUUUGACGUUUUCGAUUUACGUUGGGGUAUCCCGCUCUUGGGUUUCGGUAGGCGCAGAAUAGCGGAGCGCCGUUUGAAAAGUACUCAACUACAACCCCACUUGCCUAAACUACUGACGAUUUAAAGAACCUUUAUCAAUAUAAUAGGUCACCGUUUGAAAUUUAAAAAUUCGGAAGUCGUUUUGCCUAAAGAAGACGAAAAAUAACGAUAAUGGAAAACGUUAAAGUCACUCGUUUUUUAUUUUUUAAAUAUUG